UACAGAGGGUGCGAGCGUUGUUCGGAAUUAUUGGGCGUAAAGCGCUUGUAGGCGGCACGUCAAGUCGCGUGUGAAAUCCCCAGGCUUAACCUGGGAAGUGCGCGCGAAACUGACGAGCUUGAGUGCCGGAGAGGGUCGCGGAAUUCCCGGUGUAGAGGUGAAAUGCGUAGAGACCCGGAGGAACACCAGUGGCGAAGGCGGCGUCCUGGCCUGCGACUGACGCUGUGGCGCGAAAGCUAGGGGAGCGAACGGG
rnacentral:rRNA from 1 species